AGCUUUAUAGUCAUAAAAAUGAUAUUAGACUGCAAUUCUAGAGGAGCAAAAUUUGUUUGCUAAGGCUU
rnacentral:tRNA from 1 species